GGUAAUGCUGCACCAUUGCAGAAGAGUUAUCAGCCUGGAUUCACUAAGGGGAAGUCAUGUUUGCCCUACGAUGCUUUUAUGAUGAAAUCUCCAGCCUCCUCCAAUGGAUGACAUGGGUUCUGUGAAUAUUGUCUUUCAGGCUGGAGACAUGGGCAGACAAAAAUCUCAUGAAGUUCACCAAGGAGAAAUGCAUAGUCCUGAACCUGAGAAGGAAAAAUCCCAGCACAUGAGGACAUGCAAGGGCACCCAACUGGAAGCAGAUGGCAGAAAAGAAUCAAAGGAGUCCUGGUGGACACCAACAUUGGUGAGGCUGCAUCUGGUGUUCCGGGUCCACUUCUUGGCCCCCCCAGUACAAGAGAGACCUGGCCUCCAAGAUGAUGAAAGAAUUGGAACACCUCUCCUAUGAGGAGAAGCUGGGGGAAUCGGGACUGCCCAGGGGGCAUCUUACCAAUGUGUGUAAAUACCUAAAAGGAUAGUGGAAAGAGGAUGGAGCCAGGAUAUUUUUAGAGGUGCACCAGGCCACAACAGGAGGCAAUGGACACAGACUGGAACAAAAUAUUCUGUCUAAACAUCAGGAAGUAUUUCUUUACUGUGCAGGUGAGGGAGCACUAAAACAGGCUGCCCAGAGAGGCUGUGGAGCAGUGUUAUAGUCAUUAGUCUUAGGCAUUAAGGUGGGUUUACAUGGUAUUGCUGUCCAAGAGGUCCUCCAACGCCUCCUAGUGGAUAAACUACAAAAGGUGAAAGCUAGGAGAGAACCUCAGCUGAAGUAAAUGCAAUAGAAAAGAGACAACCUGCCUCUAUGCAAAGGGAAAGAGCAAAAUGAGGAAACUGGGGAG
ensembl:lncRNA